UAGGGAAUCUUCGGCAAUGGGGGGAACCCUGACCGAGCAACGCCGCGUGAGUGAAGAAGGUUUUCGGAUCGUAAAGCUCUGUUGUUAAGGAAGAACGAGCGUGAGAAUGGAAAGUUCAUGCUGUGACGGUACUUAACCAGAAAGGGACGGCUAACUACGUGCCAGCAGCCGCGGUAAUACGUAGGUCCCGAGCGUUGUCCGGACUUAUUGGGCGUAAAGCGAGCGCAGGCGGUUAGAAAAGUCUGAAGUGAAAGGCAGUGGCUCAACCAUUGUAGGCUUUGGAAACUGUUUAACUGGAGUGCAGAAGGGGAGAGUGGAAUUCCAGGUGUGGCGGUGAAAUGGGUGAAUAUAUGGAGGAACACCGGUGGCGAAAGCGGCUGUCUGGUCUGUAACUGACGCUGAGGCUCGAAGGCGUGGGGGGCGAACAGG
rnacentral:rRNA from 1 species